CCUGGCAUGCUGCACUGUCCUG
rnacentral:miRNA from 1 species